rnacentral:misc_RNA from 1 species
AAGUCGUAACAAGGUUUCCGUAGGUGAACCUGCGGAAGGAUCAUUAAAGUGAGGGAGUCGAACGCGCAAGCGAGACGCCCGCAACACACUCACCUUGUGUUUUGUUUGAUGUAGUUUGUGAGGUUUUGACUCUCACAUACGGGGUUUACCACGCUUAUUUUUCUACUAGACUCUCGUGGCAAUCGCCACAACAACAAUCGAAAACUGCCAGCAAUGGAUCACUCGGUUCUC